UGAUUGCGCGCAUGUUCUUCUCCUCCGAUUGCUCAGUUUGGUCAGGUGGCCAAAACUCAAGGGUUGUUUUAUCCCUCUCUGCGUGUCGCCCCCUGUUGGUCAGAAGACUGGCUGAUGUUACAAUACAAGGUGAGACACAAUCAUUAUUUCCUCCAUAGCAUCAUCCACUUCCUGUUGUAUAAACGUGUGGGUGUUUUCUGUAUUCUAGAGGAUGGAAG
rnacentral:lncRNA from 1 species